rnacentral:rRNA from 1 species
AUUGGUCAAUAGCCUAACGGCUGAACCAGCAACUUGGAGGAAUAUAAAGCAAUAGCUGAUUGCAUUUAAAUGUAGUUACUACUUGGUAGUUUAAAGUUCUAGGUAGAAUUAUGAUGAUGACAUUAUCUAUCUAUUAGUCUUGACCAAAUUACGUGCCAGCAGUCGCGGCAAUACGUAGAAGACAAGUGUUAUUCAUCUUUAUUAGGUUUAAAGAGUACCAAGACGGUUAAUAAAGCCCAAAAUAAAUGAAUACGGGGGACACAUUAACUAGAGUUAUAUGAAAUGAAGCUAUAAGGUACUGUUGAGUGUAGAGAUGAAAUUUAAUGAUACCAGAUGAUUGGCACAGAUUAAUGCGAAGGCAUCUUCUUAUGUAAUAACUGACGUUGUAGGACGAAGGCUUUGGGUGUGAACAGGAUUAGGUACCCCAGUAAUCUUGGCAGAAAAUGAUGAAUGUCAUAGGUAUUAUUGGGUCUAUAAAUGAAAGUGUAAGCAUUCCACCUCAAGAGUAAUUUGGCAACAUUGGAACUGAAAUCAUUAGACCGUUUCUGAAACCAGUAGUGAAGUAUGUUGUUUAAUUAGAUGAUACACAAGAACCUUACCACAAUCUGAAUAUAUAUAAAUUAUAUUUACAAGCGCUGCACGGCUGUCUACAGUUAAUGUCGUGAGAUUUUGGUUAGCUCCAUAAAAUUGACGUAAACCCUAAUUUUAUUUAUAAAUAUAAUUAACAUCGCUAUAUAUGAUGUUUUAAGAGGGAACAUGACAAGUCAUCAUGG